AGAGCCCUCCUUCCUCAUUGGCACAGGCAGAGCAGAAAGCCGAGCAGGGAGUUUUUUGCUGUCUCAUUUUUGAGGCUAUGCUUUCCUGAAGUUUACCUGUGCCAUGUCAGGUGUUUACACAGGCUCAGCAGCGUUUCUCAUUGCUGUGACGUGAAACUUUUAAGGGCAGAAAACUCUGGGACAGUUUUUUCACUGAGACAGAGGAGCAGAUAGAAGAAUAGGUGGAGAGCAGGCACAAGGUACAAGCACGCUGGGGGUGUCAUGCAAUUCCAUAAGGAUCUUGUGUUCCUGAAGUGGCCUCAGGACCUGUGGAUUACUAUGGGAGUGCUUCCCAUGGAGGGUCCUCAUUUCUGCAGCACGCUCAACAUUGCCAACAUCAACUGUUCAAAGAUCAUGAGAUCACCUUAAGAAAACCUUUUCUCUCUAUUUGCUGCUGGAAUUUUGUGUCUCUGCAGUUCACAUUUUAAUCUUUGCUCUGAAAAAGGACCAAAGCUCAAAACUUCUCAAAACUUCUCAAAAUUUGCUCAAAACUUUAAAAACAGAAUAAAAGAUAAAACUGGGAGCAGAGGGAUGGACUUCAAGAUUAAAAGGGACCUUUUCAGGUCUGAGAGAAAAAUGGCAGGUACUGCAAUUUUUCCAAGAGAACCCAAGGUUUUUAUCAUGAGAGGGUGGUAUAAAGCUCAUUAAUUUCUUCAGACUUUUAUGAAGACAAAGUAUAACAGCAGAAAUUAGAUUAAACUUCAUCCUUGGGAAAGAGUCUAA